AUUUGAGGAUUUACGGUAUACAGUAUAUAUAUGUGUGUGUGUGUGAUCUAUAUAGUAAGGUAUACAUGGGCAAAGUUUGUCCAUUGUUUCGCUGUUCUUGCAUUAGGGAACCUUCACAGCGGAGACAAUGGCACAUUCCUGAACUUGUUUAUUUUUCAUUUUUAUAUUUUAUUUUCAUUAAAGGCACAGAAGUAGAGCAUUUUAAGAAGCAAGUAAAAGAGGAAGCCUCAAACACAAACCCUCAUUGACAUAACAUAAAAAUACAGUAUAGAAAUCAGUAGAAGAGUAUACAAAUCUGUGGACUGGAUAUACUUGGAAAACCCAAGGAAACACACGCUUCAGUCUCUGUUCAGUCAGUCCAACUCUGCUCUGGGCUCCUUGGCACUGUGACCUUCGACCUUCGACCUUCGACCUUCAGUCUUUAUCAGCGUGAACACCGUCCCUACGUGGCCUUUCAGAGCUUUGGGAUUAAUGGAUGGUGAUGCAUAAACUGACUGGAUUCAUUCUACUUCCUAAACUUAAAAAUAGAAUUUCUGUCUUGCUAUCUUUGAGCUGUACAUGCUUUUACAACAAGUAAACUGUCCGAUUGCAGUGUUGUGUACAGGUGCAAAUAAUGUGCAUUUGUGCUUUGAACGGCAGUCUGACAGUGACUGACAGACUAAAACAAACAUGGCUUCUGGAUGAUGCUACUGCCAAGCUGUAUCUUACACCUUUAAAAAUCGACUUCACUGUUCACAGAUUCCAGAUUCAGAUGCAACUGACUGGAUUCACUGACACUGACACAGAAUACUGGUCAGAAGCAGGUUUGGGUCUUUAGGUGACUAGGCUAGUUGCCUGAAUUAAAAUGCAGAAUAGUACAUAGUCAGGUUGAAAUUUACAUAAGGCUUAAUGCUUAAGCUUGCUUAAGGCCAAAAAGUAAAAUAAUUUUGUUAUAAAACUAAAGAACAAAAAUAGUGCAUCACAAAGACAGCAGGUAAUAAAAUGACAGAAACAAAACACUGAACAAAAAAACUAAGAAAUUGAAAUAUGCCUAUAUGACAUUUCUCUCUGUCACCACUAGAUGGCACAUGAGCCUUAAAACUCAAGAGUUUGGUCUGUCAUGGUUUUCUCUUGUGUAAUGGGGGUGAACAUGAUUUAAGGGAUGUCACAGUAGAGACAAGACUUUAACAAAAAAUAGAUUACUUUUUUUUAAAUAUGGAACAGUGUAUGAAACCAAGGGGGUGUGAACAGUGUGUUUCUGAUUGUUUUUUUUAACGUACGAUAAAUAAUCCGAAAUAUUCAGUGCACAGACUCCAAUGAGGCAGAAGUGAAACUAGGGAACGAUUCAGAAAGAUAAAUCUAUUCUGAAGAAAGAUAAAUCUAUUCUGAAUCUCAGAAUAGCAAGAUUGUCAGAUGUACACAGUAUGCUGUAGAGGUUUUUGUAAAAGAAAAAGAAGUUCUAAAAGUGACAGGAAAUCCCACUUUUUUCCACCAAAUGCUGCCCACGGCGUUCACAGUUUCUCAUCAGAUUCAUCUCUUUGAAUUGUGCCCUUAAAAACUGGAACUAACCCAGGCAGAUCCGGACACCUAAUGUCCCCACAUUCAACGCUAGUUGGGUGGCAAAGCUGCCUCGGUUAGUGUCGUCCUUCAUCAUAAAAGUAAAGAGAUUACACAGCAGGAGGCGACACAAAGACCCAGAACACACUCAACUACAUAUACUUACAAAAAAAUGCAAAACAAAAAGAAGGAACCUAAACAUGGACCUGUGAUCGUUAUACUUCACAAAUGUUCUUCAUCUAUUUUAAAUAUCUAAACCCAGACAGCUGACUCUGGUACAGAUCUGGCCCUGAUCUAGACCUAAUCUAGACCUGAUCUAGACCUGAUGUAGACCUGAUCUAGACCUGAUCUAGUCCUGAUCUAGUCCUGAUCUAGACCUGAUCUAGACCUGAUCUAGUCCUGAUGUAGACCUGAUCUAGACCUGAUCUAGACCUAAUCUAGACCUAAUCUAGACCUAAUCUAGUCCUGAUGUAGACCUGAUCUAGACCUGAUCUAGUCCUGAUGUAGACCUGAUCUAGACCUGUUCUAGACCUGAUGUAGACCUGAUCUAGACCUGAUCUAGACCUGAUCUAGUCCUGAUGUAGACCUGAUGUAGACCUGAUCUAGACCUAAUCUACACCUGAUCUACACCUGAUCUAGACCUGAUCUAGACCUGGAUCAGGCCUAGGUCGGCACCAUAUGUGGGUCAAAUCUGUCCCGAAGUCACCUGGUCUCCAGGAAUAUAUACAGUAGAUAAUAUAUACAUGAUAAAGUAGCAUACACAACCAGGAGCCACUGAUUGCAUAAGUGCUCUACCGGGCCAAUUGGAUUCCGCUAAACUCUACAACACUCGCAGAACACGUCUCCAUGGUGACAUGACAUGAGGAGACAGCAGGGUUCUACCUGGAUCAGGAGGACAGAGGAGAAGGGCUGGGGGGGGGGGGGGGGGUUGUAAGAGAAGUGUAGCAGAGGACGGGUAUGACCGGCAGGAUAGAUCACAGGCUGACAGGUGGGUGGUUGUGGAUCUAGUGUGUAGCUGUAUCUAGGUCUGUAUAAGCUGCGUUUGGUGGCUGUAUGUAGGGCUGUACAAGGGAGAUUAGCUGAGUUUUAUGGCUGUAUCUAGGGGUGUAUAGGGGUAUCUGUAUUUUUGUUUGGGGGGGG
ensembl:lncRNA